AACGAACGCUGGCGGCAUGCCUAACACAUGCAAGUCGAACGAGACCUUCGGGUCUAGUGGCGCACGGAUGCGUAACGCGUGGGAACCUGCCCUUAGGUUCGGAAUAACUCCCCGAAAGGGGUGCUAAUACCGGAUAAUGUCUUCGGACCAAAGAUUUAUCGCCUUUGGAUGGGCCCGCGUUGGAUUAGCUAGUUGGUAGGGUAAAAGCCUACCAAGGCGACGAUCCAUAGCUGGUCUGAGAGGAUGAUCAGCCACACUGGGACUGAGACACGGCCCAGACUCCUACGGGAGGCAGCAGUGGGGAAUAUUGGACAAUGGGCGAAAGCCUGAGCCAGCAAUGCCGCGUGAGUGAUGAAGGCCUUAGGGUUGUAAAGCUCUUUUACCCGGGAUGAUAAUGACAGUACCGGGAGAAUAAGCGCCGGCUAACUCCGUG
rnacentral:rRNA from 1 species